rnacentral:rRNA from 1 species
CUACUACUAAUUCCGUGGUUUCCUCAUGCCAUGGCAGCGACAUCCCUCCUGGAUGAACAAGCAGAGGCCCUCCUUGCCUGGAAAGCCACACUCCAAAGCCAUCCAACCCAGCUACAAUCCUGGGGAAGUGCAAACAACACUGCACGGCCGUGCAGCUGGCAUGGCAUCAGGUGCAGCAAGCAUCGAGCAAGGCGCCGGGAGGUGAUCACCGAGAUCUCUCUACCCGGGUUGGGGCUCGGAGGGGAGCUCGACAACCUCAACUUCACUGUGCUGCGUACUCUCAUGAGCAUCCAACUCUCCAACAAUAAGAUAAGGGGCUCCUUUCCACCUGCUUUAGCAUCAUCCUUACCAAAGCUGAGACACCUAAUGCUACAAGAGAAUGAGCUUUCCGGUGAAAUACCAAGCCAAAUAAAACACCUAGAGAGUCUGGUUGUGCUGGAUUUCUCAGCCAACCACUUGUCUGGUCUCAUCCCCACUGAACUAGGCUACCUAAAGAAGCUGGCUAGGUUAGAUUUUUCCAACAACAGCCUCACUGGUCCUAUUCCAAGAAAUCUAGGGAAAUCUACUAGUAUCACAAUCUUGCGCCUUGGUGGUAAUCAGUUAUCCGGAUAUAUCCCUCGAGAACUAGGUUACCUGCUGCAUUUAAAUCAGUUGUCUCUUCGGAAAAACAAAUUAAUUGGUUCCAUCCCCAAUUCCUUUGGGAGAUUGAUUAACCUCAAAGGCUUGUACCUAUGGGGUAACCAACUUUCCGGACGUAUUCCUCAAGAACUUGGUUUCCUAGUAAAUUUAGAAGAGUUGGAUCUUAGCAGCAACCAACUCACGGGUUCCAUCCCCAAUACAUUUGGAAGUUUGUCAAAGCUCACUAUGUUGCACCUUUUUGGUAAUAAAUUAUCUGGAUAUCUUCCUCGAGAACUAGGCAACCUGUCAAGUCUUGAAUAUUUGGAACUUAACAACAACCAACUCAUGGGUUUCAUCCCCCAUAUCUUUGUAAAUUUGACAAAGCUCUCUAUCUUGCGCCUUGAUGCGAACCACUUCUAUGGACAUCUUCCUCGAGAACUAGGUUACAUGGUGAAUCUUGAUAACUUGGAUCUAAGCGAGAACAAACUCAUUGGUUCCAUCCCCAAUACCUUUGGAAGUUUAACUAAGCUCACUCGCUUGUACCUAUGGGGUAACCAACUCUCCGGAAGUAUUCCUCAAGAACUUGGUUUCCUAGUAAAUUUAGAAGAGUUGGAUCUUAGCAGCAACCAACUCACGGGUUCCAUCCCCAGUACAUUUGGAAGUUUAACUAAGCUCACUCGCUUGUACCUUGAUGCUAAUCAGUUAACCGGACAUAUUCCUCGAGAACUAGGUUACCUGGUGGAUUUAAAAGAAUUGUCUCUUAGCAAUAACAAGCUCACUGGUUCCGUCCCUGAUGCCGUUGGAAAGUUGACUAAGCUCAGAAAAUUGCGUCUCGGUGAUAAUAAUUUCUCCGGACAUAUUCCUCAAGAAAUCGGUACCUUUAUGAAUCUUGUGGUCCUGCAACUUGGUGCAAACAAUUUCUCUGGUCCCUUGCCACCUGAGUUGUGUGCUGGAGGCCUUCUCCAGAAUUUAACUGCAUUUGAUAACAAUCUGAAUGGACAAUUGCCAUCAAGUUUGGGAAACUGCAAAAGCCUAGUCCGAGUUCGUCUUGAAAGGAAUCAAAUAGAAGGUGAUAUCUCUGAGUUGGGAGUUCAUCCUAAUCUUGUUUAUAUGGACAUGAGUUCAAAUAAACUAUUUGGCCAAUUGUCUUAUCACUGGGGAGUUUGUCAUAAUCUUACCAAGCUAGGCAUAUCAAACAACAACAUCACAGGGAAAAUACCUGCAAGUAUGGGGAGGCUAUCUCAGCUAAAUGUACUUGAUCUCUCCUCAAACAGUCUCGAAGGAGAGCUUCCUAGAGAACUAGGCAAUUUAAAACAAUUAUUCCAGCUGCAUCUUGCGGAUAAUUUGCUCCAUGGAAGCAUACCACAAGAAUUUGGAGCAUUGUCCAGUCUAGAGUUGUUGGAUUUAUCAUCAAAUAACCUUAGUGGUUUGGUACAAGGAUCAAUUGAGAAUUGUUUGAAGCUCCGCUCAUUGAAUUUGAGUCACAAUAAAUUUAAAGGAAACAUCCCUGUAGUGCUUGGGGUGUUGAACAACUUACAUGACAUGUUGGAUUUAAGUGAUAAUUCAUUUACUGGGAAAAUACCUAGCCAACUUAGUGGUCUGAUAAUGCUGGAUAAUUUGAAUCUUUCACACAAUGAACUUUAUGGUGUAAUCCCAUCAUCAUUUCAGAGUAUGAAAAGCUUGACAUCCAUUGAUUUAUCUUACAAUGAAUUGGAAGGACCAGUCCCAGAGAGUAAGCCCUUCAAAGGAGCUCCAGUUCAGUGGUUCAUCCAUAAUAAGAUGCUAUGUGGCAUAGUGAAAGGAUUGCCCCCUUGCAAUAACACAACUUGGAGUGGAGGGAAAAGGAAACGAUACAAAACACUUGUACUAGCCAUGAUUACUGCUCUAGCAUCUCUUAUUCUUGUUGCGGCGACGUUGAUGUUCAGCAAUGCAAGGAAGAAAUCCAUGAAAAUUAAAGAGGAUAUAGUAACAACCAAAAAAGUAUUCUCUAUUUGGAAUUUUGAUGGGGGGGGGGAUGUCUUCAAACAGAUAGUUGAAGCAACCAAUGAUUUUAGUGAAACACAUUGUAUAGGAACUGGGGGAUAUGGAUCUGUCUAUAAAGCCAAACUUGCAACAUCUGAAAUAUUUGCAGUGAAGAAGAUGCACAUGAUUGAAGAUGACUGUUGUGUGAACGAGUUGGUAUUCAAUAGUGAAAUCGAGGCAUUGGUGCAGACUCGGCAUCGAAACAUCGUAAAACUAUUUGGAUAUUGUUCCUCUAGCCAAGGCAAAUAUCUUAUCUAUGAAUACAUGGAGAGGGGAAACUUGGCAGAAAUACUAAGGGACAAUGAAAGGGCAAUUGAAUUGGACUGGAGAAGGCGGAUAAAUAUUGCACUAGAUGUUGUUCAUGCUUUGGCAUACAUGCAUCAUGAUUGUUCAUUACCAAUAGUCCACAGAGAUAUAACAAGCAACAACAUUUUACUUGAUCUGGAAUUUAGGGCUUGCAUCUCCGACUUCGGUAUGGCUAAAAUUCUCAAUAUUGAUGGUCAAAAUCUCACAAAUCUUGUUGGGACGAAAGGCUAUAUUGCCCCAGAGCUAUCAUAUACAGAGAAGGUGACGGCGAAAUGUGAUGUAUAUAGCUUCGGCGUUCUUGUUCUAGAGCUAUUUAUGGGAUACCAUCCAGGAGAUUUUCUCUUUUCUCUCUUGUCGUCCACCAAAAAUAAUGACGUGUGCUUGCAAGAUGUGCUAGACUCAAGGCUCAUUGUUCCUAAUGCUGAAACUGCUAGGGAAAUAUACUACAUCCUAAGUGUUGCAGCUCGGUGUCUGGAGCCUAUUCCAUCAAGCAGACAAACAGCACGACGUGCUCGUGACGAGCUAUCUGUG